rnacentral:rRNA from 1 species
AUCAUUAGUUCUUUAAUUGUGAUCUGGAAUGAAUGGCUUGACGAGGCACUGGCUGUCUUAGUGAUGGAUGUUUUAUUGAAUUUGGUCUUUGAGUUAAAAUUCUUAGAUGUUUUUAUGGGACGAGAAGACCCUAUAGAGUUUGACAUUUGGCUUAUUUAUUUAUGUUGUUUGUUUUGUUUUUGGUAAGUGGGCUUUUUGUUUUGUUGGGGUGACGAGAGGAAUAUAGUUUAACUCCUCUUGGUUUUAGGUUAUAUUGAUUUAUAGUUGUUUGAUCCAUUUAUUUUGAUUGCAAGACUAAAUUACCUUAGGGAUAACAGCGUUAUCUUCCUUGAGAGUUCUUAUCGGCAGGGGGGUUUGC